UACGUAGGGUGCAAGCGUUGUCCGGAAUUAUUGGGCGUAAAGAGCGUGUAGGCGGCUCGAUCAGUCCGCUGUAAAAGUCCAGGGCUCAACCCUGGGAUGCCGGUGGAUACUGUCGGGCUAGAGUCCGGAAGAGGCGAGUGGAAUUCCUGGUGUAGCGGUGAAAUGCGCAGAUAUCAGGAGGAACACCAAUGGCGAAGGCAGCUCGCUGGGACGGUACUGACGCUGAGACGCGAAAGCGUGGGGAGCGAACAGG
rnacentral:rRNA from 1 species